rnacentral:rRNA from 1 species
UACGAAGGGGGCUAGCGUUGCUCGGAAUCACUGGGCGUAAAGGGUGCGUAGGCGGGUCUUUAAGUCAGGGGUGAAAUCCUGGAGCUCAACUCCAGAACUGCCUUCGAUACUGGAGAGCUCGAGUCCGGGAGAGGUGAGUGGAACUGCGAGUGUAGAGGUGAAAUUCGUAGAUAUUCGCAAGAACACCAGUGGCGAAGGCGGCUCACUGGCCCGGUACUGACGCUGAGGUGCGAAAGCCGUGGGGAGCAAACAGG